rnacentral:rRNA from 1 species
UACGAAGGGGGCUAGCGUUGCUCGGAAUUACUGGGCGUAAAGCGCACGUAGGCGGCUCUUUAAGUCGGGGGUGAAAUCCUGGAGCUCAACUCCAGAACUGCCUUCGAUACUGUAGAGCUUGAGUUCGGGAGAGGUGAGUGGAACUGCGAGUGUAGAGGUGAAAUGCGUAGAUAUAUGGAGGAAUACCGGUGGCGAAGGCGGCCUCCUGGCUCGACACUGACGCUGAGGUGCGAAAGCGUGGGGAUCAAACAGG